AGUGAACGCUGGCGGUAGGCCUAACACAUGCAAGUCGAACGGCAGCACAGUAAGAGCUUGCUCUUACGGGAGGCGAGUGGCGGACGGGUGAGGAAUACAUCGGAAUCUACUUUUUCGUGGGGGAUAACGUAGGGAAACUUACGCUGAUACCGCAUACGACCUACGGGUGAAAGCAGGGGAUCUUCGGACCUUGCGCGAUUGAAUGAGCCGAUGUCGGAUUAGCUAGUUGGCGGGGUAAAGGCCCACCAAGGCGACGAUCCGUAGCUGGUCUGAGAGGAUGAUCAGCCACACUGGAACUGAGACACGGUCCAGACUCCUACGGGAGGCAGCAGUGGGGAAUAUUGGACAAUGGGCGCAAGCCUGAUCCAGCCAUGCCGCGUGGGUGAAGAAGGCCUUCGGGUUGUAAAGCCCUUUUGUUGGGAAAGAAAAGCAGCAGGUUAAUACCCCGCUGUUCUGACGGUACCCAAAGAAUAAGCACCGGCUAACUUCGUG
rnacentral:rRNA from 1 species